rnacentral:rRNA from 1 species
GCUUGUCUCAAAGAUUAAGCCAUGCAUGUCUAAGUAUAAACGAAUCUAUACUGUGAAACUGCGUACGGCUCAUUAAACCAGUUAUAGUUUAUUUGAUAUUCCCCUACUACUCGGAUAACCGUAGUAAUUCUAGAGCUAAUACGUGCGUAAAUCCCGACUUCUGGAAGGGACGUAUUUAUUAGAUAAAAGGCCGACCGGGCUCUGCCCGACUCGCGGUGAAUCAUGAUAACUUCACGAAUCGCACGGCCUCGUGCCGGCGAUGUUUCAUUCAAAUUUCUGCCCUAUCAACUUUUGAUGGUAGGAUAGAGGCCUACCAUGGUGGUAACGGGUGACGGAGGAUUAGGGUUCGAUUCCGGAGAGGGAGCCUGAGAAACGGCUACCACAUCCAAGGAAGGCAGCAGG